CCGUCCCGCGUCGUGGACCCCCUGACCAUUCCCGCGUGGUCCCGGCUACCCUGGCGGCGUGCGCCCGCCGUGGGAAGAGUCCACCAGGGGCGCAAAGCCGACAGCCGUCGCACUCCAGGGAGCCCUUACAUG
rnacentral:sRNA from 17 species